rnacentral:tRNA from 1 species
AGGGGUAUAGCUCAACUGGUAGAGCGGCGGUCUCCAAAACCGCAGGCUGCGGGUUCGAGUCCUGCUGCCCCUG